GUGAGUGACUGGGUGCAAUGCUGAGCCUUACUCCAGUCUGGGGACUGUGAACUCACACUCCUUGAAUUGAUAUCUGAGCCGCUCCCUGCGGAGCUUUAACUAAACGAGGUCCCUCUCUGGCUUCGGAAAAAAAAGCCCCUCCAUGUUCCCAAGGCUAUUUAUGGGAAGGACAAAUGUAAGUAAUGACAGGAAUCCCUUUGCAAAGAACUUCCAAUCUGACUUUAGCCCGGGAAAAGCUGCUGGUACUGGCUGCAAUUGCACUGUGCCUCAUCGAUUCAGGACAAUCCAGGGGGAAUUCUGAUCACAUCAGUUUCUGGAUUUCUUCAUAUCCAGGACUUCGGACUUCCCUGUGCAAAAUGUCCAAACAGCCUUCCUCCACUGUCAAAGCCUUGCAGGCCAACCUCAAUAUCCCGAUGGGGGCUCUCC